GCUGCUCAGUAACACGUGGACAACCUGCCCUUAGGUUGUGUAUAAACCCGGGAAACUGGGUAUAAUACCCGAUAGGUCUCGAUUGCUGGAAUGCAUCGAGAUUUAAAGCUCCGGCGCCUAAGGAUGGGUCUGCGGCCUAUCAGGUAGUAGUGGGUGUAGCGUACCUACUAGCCUACGACGGGUACGGGUUGUGAGAGCAAGAGCCCGGAGAUGGAUUCUGAGACACGAAUCCAGGCCCUACGGGGUGCAGCAGGCGCGAAAACUUUACAAUGCUGGCAACAGCGAUAAGGGAACCUCGAGUGCCAGGUUACAAAUCUGGCUGUCGAGAUGCCUAAAAAGCAUUUCAUAGCAAGGGCCGGGCAAGACCGGUGCCAGCCGCCGCGGUAACACCGGCGGCUCGAGUGGUAACCGUUAUUAUUGGGUCUAAAGGGUCUGUAGCCGGCCGGAUAAGUCUCUUGAGAAAUCUGGCAGCUUAACUGUCAGGCUUUCAGGAGAUACUGUCUGGCUCGAGGCCGGGAGAGGUGAGAGGUACUUCAGGGGUAGGGGUGAAAUCUUGUAAUCCUUGAAGGACCACCAGUGGCGAAGGCGUCUCACCAGAACGGACCUGACGGCAAGGGACGAAAGCUAGGGGCACGAACCGGAUUAGAUACCCGGGUAGUCCUAGCCGUAAACGAUACUCGCUAGGUGUCGGCCACGGUGCGACCGUUGUCGGUGCCGUAGGGAAGCCGUGAAGCGAGCCACCUGGGAAGUACGGCCGCAAGGCUGAAACUUAAAGGAAUUGGCGGGGGAGCAC
rnacentral:rRNA from 1 species